AGGACAAACGCUGGCGGCGUGCUUAACACAUGCAAGUCGAACGGAAAGGCCCGCUUGCGGGUACUCGAGUGGCGAACGGGUGAGUAACACGUGGGCAACCUGCCCUCAGCUCUGGGAUAACUCCGGGAAACCGGUGCUAAUACUGGAUAUCGACUUCUGCUCGCAUGGGUGGUUGUUGAAAGUUUUUCGGCUGGGGAUGGGCCCGCGGCCUAUCAGCUUGUUGGUGGGGUGAUGGCCUACCAAGGCGACGACGGGUA
rnacentral:rRNA from 1 species